rnacentral:rRNA from 1 species
CCUACGGGAGGCAGCAGUGAGGAAUAUUGGUCAAUGGGCGCAAGCCUGAACCAGCCAUCCCGCGUGAAGGAAGAAGGCGCUAUGCGUCGUAAACUUCUUUUCCAGAGGAAGAAAACCCCCGACGAGUCGGGGCUUGCCGGUACUCUGGGAAUAAGCAUCGGCUAACUCCGUGCCAGCAGCCGCGGUAAUACGGAGGAUGCGAGCGUUAUCCGGAUUUAUUGGGUUUAAAGGGUGCGUAGGCGGUAAACUAAGUCAGUGGUGAAAAGCUGCAGCUCAACUGUAGUCCUGCCAUUGAAACUGUUUUACUUGAGUAACCAUGAGGUAGGCGGAAUGUGUAGUGUAGCGGUGAAAUGCUUAGAUAUUACACAGAACACCGAUUGCGAAGGCAGCUCACAAAACUGUAACUGACGCUGAGGCACGAAAGUGCGGGGAUCAAACAGGAUUAGAUACCCUGGUAGUCCACGCCGUAAACGAUGAUAACUCGCUGUUGGCGAUACACAGUCAGCGGCUUAGCGAAAGCGUUAAGUUAUCCACCUGGGGAGUACGCUCGCAAGAGUGAAACUCAAAGGAAUUGACGG